GACGUAGGGUGCAAGCGUUGUCCGGAUUUAUUGGGCGUAAAGAGCUCGUAGGCGGCUUGUUGCGUCGACUGUGAAAACCCGCGGCUUAACCGCGGGCUUGCAGUUGAUACGGGCAGGCUAGAGUUCGGUAGGGGAGACUGGAAUUCCUGGUGUAGCGGUGAAAUGCGCAGAUAUCAGGAGGAACACCGAUGGCGAAGGCAGGUCUCUGGGCAUUAACUGGCGCUGAGGAGCGAAAGCAUGGGGAGCGAACAGG
rnacentral:rRNA from 1 species